GUGCUCGCUUUGGCAGCACAUAUGCUAAAACUGGAAUGAUACAGAGAACAUUAGCAUGGUCCCUGCUCAAGGAUGGCACGCAAAUUCAGAGAGCAUUCCAUAUUUUU